GCUUACGGCCAUACCAACCUGGCUAUGCCCGAUCUGUCUGAUGAUCUCGGAGCUAAGCAGGUUGGGCCUGGUUAGUACUUUGGAUGGGAGACCGCCUGGGAAUACCAGGUGCUGUAAGCU
rnacentral:rRNA from 1 species